CUACGGGUGGCAGCAGUGAGGAAUUUUGCGCAAUGGGGGCAACCCUGACGCAGCAACGCCGCGUGAGUGAAGAAGGCCCUUGGGUCGUAAAGCUCUGUCAAUGGGGAAGAAGUUACUUGGUAUUAAUAGUGCCUUGUAUUGACGGUACCCAUGAAGGAAGCACCGGCUAACUCCGUGCCAGCAGCCGCGGUAAUACGGGGGGUGCAAGCGUUAUUCGGAAUUAUUGGGCGUAAAGGGCACGCAGGCGGUCCUGUCAGUCAGAUGUGAAAGCCCGGGGCUCAACCCCGGACGUGCAUUUGAAACAGCAGGACUUGAGUACGGGAGAGGAAAGGGGAAUUCCUGGUGUAGAGGUGAAAUUCGUAGAUAUCAGGAGGAACACCGGUGGCGAAGGCGCCUUUCUGGACCGAUACUGACGCUGAGGUGCGAAGGCGUGGGUAGCGAACGGGAUUAGAUACCCGAGUAGUC
rnacentral:rRNA from 1 species